GCUAGAUGGUGGGGUAAAGGCCUACCAGGGCGACGAUCUGUAGCUGGUCUGAGAGGAUGAUCAGCCACACCGGGACUGAGACACGGCCCGGACUCCUACGGGAGGCAGCAGUGGGGAAUAUUGGACAAUGGGGGAAACCCUGAUCCAGCCAUGCCGCGUGUGUGAAGAAGGCCUUUUGGUUGUAAAGCACUUUAAGCAGUGAAGAAGACCUAACGGUUAAUACCCGUUAGCGAUGACAUUAGCUGCAGAAUAAGCACCGGCUAACUCUGUGCCAGCAGCCGCGGUAAUACAGAGGGUGCAAGCGUUUAUCGGAAUUACUGGGCGUAAAGCGAGCGUAGGUGGCUUGAUAAGUCAGAUGUGAAAUCCCCGGGCUUAACCUGGGAACUGCAUCUGAUACUGUUAAGCUAGAGUAGGUGAGAGGGAAGUAGAAUUCCAGGUGUAGCGGUGAAAUGCGUAGAGAUCUGGAGGAAUACCGAUGGCGAAGGCAGCUUCCUGGCAUCAUACUGACACUGAGGUUCGAAAGCGUGGGUAGCAAACAGGAUUAGAUACCCUGGUAGUCCACGCCGUAAACGAUGUCUACUAGUCGUUGGGUCCCUUGAGGACUUAGUGACGCAGCUAACGCAAUAAGUAGACCGCCUGGGGAGUAC
rnacentral:rRNA from 1 species